AGGAGUAAAGCCGAACUCCUACGGGAGGCAGCAGUCGAGAAUCAUUCACAAUGGGGGAAACCCUGAUGGUGCGACGCCGCGUGGGGGAAUGAAGGUCUUCGGAUUGUAAACCCCUGUCAUGUGGGAGCAAAUUAAAAAGAUAGUACCACAAGAGGAAGAGACGGCUAACUCUGUGCCAGCAGCCGCGGUAAUACAGAGGUCUCAAGCGUUGUUCGGAAUCACUGGGCGUAAAGCGUGCGUAGGCGGUUUCGUAAGUCGUGUGUGAAAGGCGGGGGCUCAACCCCCGGACUGCACAUGAUACUGCGAGACUAGAGUAAUGGAGGGGGAACCGGAAUUCUCGGUGUAGCAGUGAAAUGCGUAGAUAUCGAGAGGAACACUCGUGGCGAAGGCGGGUUCCUGGACAUUAACUGACGCUGAGGCACGAAGGCCAGGGGAGCGAAAGGGAUUAGAUACCCCUGUAGUCCUGGCAGUAAACGGUGCACGCUUGGUGUGCGGGGAAUCGACCCCCUGCGUGCCGGAGCUAACGCGUUAAGCGUGCCGCCUGGGGAGUACGGUCGCAAGAUUAAAACUCAAAGAAAUUGACGGGGACCCGCACAAGCGGUGGAGUAUGUGGUUUAAUUCGAUGCAACGCGAAGAACCUUACCUGGGCUUGACAUGUAAUGAACAACAUGUGAAAGCAUGCGACUCUUCGGAGGCGUUACACAGGUGCUGCAUGGCCGUCGUCAGCUCGUGUCGUGAGAUGUUUGGUUAAGUCCAGCAACGAGCGCAACCCCUGUUGCCAGUUACCAGCACGUAAAGGUGGGGACUCUGGCGAGACUGCCCAGAUCAACUGGGAGGAAGGUGGGGACGACGUCAGGUCAGUAUGGCCCUUAUGCCCAGGGCUGCACACGUACUACAAUGCCCAGUACAGAGGGGGCCGAAGCCGCGAGGCGGAGGAAAUCCUAAAAACUGGGCCCAGUUCGGACUGUAGGCUGCAACCCGCCUACACGAAGCCGGAAUCGCUAGUAAUGGCGCAUCAGCUACGGCGCCGUGAAUACGUUCCCGGGUCUUGUACACACCGCCCGUCACAUCAUGGAAGCCGGUCGCACCCGAAGUAUCUGAAGCCAACCGCAAGGAGGCAGGGUCCUAAGGUGAGACUGGUAACUGGGAUGAAGUCGUAACAAGGUAGCCGUAGGGGAACCUGCGGCUG
rnacentral:rRNA from 1 species